rnacentral:lncRNA from 1 species
UGGGGGCGGCCCGGCCUGCGCCGCGGGAGCGGGCCCGGGCCCGGGCCCGGGCCCGGGCGGUGGCGGGGCUGCGGCCCGCGUUGGACCCGCGCCGCCGUGAGGCCGCUCUGGAGCCGGGCCGGGCGGUGUUGUGCUGAGGUGUCGCCUCGGUCCUGAGCGGGUGUCUGUGUGGCAGCCCCGCAGUGCGGCAGCCAAGCAUCCCGGGCUGGAUAAACAGCACCCUCGCCUUCUCUCUGCACCUAGAACUUGAAAGCGGCUUCUAAUUGAGCUCUCCAAGCCUGGCUUGGACUCACAGUGUUGCCUUGAUGUGGGAGUGGACUGAGGCACGAGCAGCAGAUGACCUCGAUUCUUUCUACACAGCGCGUUGGGCUUGCACUCUGUGUCAUUAAGGCGUUCCUAUGAGACACAGGUAAAAUCGGAAGCCCUGAGUUUGAGAUGGACACUGCAGAGUGAGUGUGAGUGGAAGCCUGCCUCCAGAAUGGAAGAGCUUUUGGAGUUGGGGUUGUUCCAGGUUUAUGACAACGCUGAAGUAUGACGUGGAGGCCUUCCCUUAACCACUGAGCUGGAUAUCUCCACAUCUCAAGGAGAGGAGGAGUUACAAUCACUGCACUACUAAUGGAAAGCUGGAGCUCAGCCACGUGGCUUGCCUGAAUCCCUCCUACCUUCUUUAGAUGGUUUGAGCAAAGAACACAUCAAAGAUGUAGACAUGUCUUUCAUCAACUAAAUACCAGCAGCCAGAUUAUCUGAAGUCAUUUUCUGCCUGCUUGCCACUGGGAAGAAAGUGCCCUCAGGGGGUCUCAUUGUGUACCCCGAAAGUACACAGCAAAACAGCUCCGGAGUAAACAGAGGCAGACCCAGCACCCCCCAUCCUCCUCACUGGGGCACUCUGUAUUCACAAUAAACCCCCUGCUGUGAUCUCUUGCCAAGAAUAACACAGACAGUCUAUUAAAACAUCUUUAAUAACAUGAUAUAAUUAAAAAUAUCUAACUUGCAACUCCAA